CUCCUCCCGCUUUUGUUUCCAGCUGUUCCCUGGCAUGUUUUCCUCUGCAGCCUCGAUGUCUCAGAACAGCAGAGCAUCUUUCCAUUGCACUUGAGAAUAGCUAGGCUCUGAGCUGAGGCUUUGGGCUGUGCUUUUAUCACCCUGCUGGUUAAAAUCUGGAUUUCUCUCCCUUUGCCCCUCGCUGUCCCCUGGCACUCCAGAGGAGCAUUAUGUCAUAUCAAUUCCUGUGUGGUUGCAGGCACUGGAGGAGGAAGGAAGCUCCAAUGUGAAAACCUUCAGCUUUGUUUUGCUAAAGGCUUUGCUGUAAGGUGAUUGGCCCUGCUCCCUGCUCAGUCCUGGGCACAGAAAUUACCCUGCCUUGUUUCCUUUGGUACAGCUGUAGCAGCACCUGUAACAGGCCUUUUGCCCAUGGUCCUGGAGUGGAGGCCAAGUGGACUGGAGACAGAACUAUGGAAAAAAACCCAACCAAGCAAUGAACAAAGAAAAUGCAGCAACCCACCCCCUCACCCUAUUUUGCCCAUCAUUUAUUUAACCUUAAAGCCUUUUUUGUCCCAAGAAUUGUUGUUUUUCUUACAUUGUCAAGCUGCCUGAGUAACUCAGUGGUAAAAUCCAUCCAGGACACUGCAGCCUGUGCUGUGGCACAAGGAGAUGAAACUCUGCAGGGUAGAUCUUACCUGUGCUGCUCACCCUGCCAGCAAAUGUGUUUGCUGUGGAACACCUCUGUGGGUGAGACACACUUGUGUUCUUGUGGGACUCAUCUGUAUUAAAAGGCUGAAAUUCAA